GCGGGUAUAGUAUAGUGGUAUUAUAUCUCCCUUCCAAGGAGAAGAGACGGGUUCGAUUCCCGUUACCCGCUCCA
rnacentral:tRNA from 1 species